AACGAACGCUGGCGGCGCGCCUAAUACAUGCAAGUCGAGCGAGAAGACGUAGCAAUACGUUUGUAAAGCGGCGAAUGGGUGAGGAAUACAUGGGUAACCUACCCUCGAGUGGGGAAUAACUAGCCAAAGGUUAGCUAAUACCGCGUACGCUCCUUGGACUUCGGUUCAGGGAGGAAAGCGAUACCGUGGGUAUCGCGCUCUUGGAUGGGCUCAUGUCCUAUCAGCUUGUUGGUGAGGAACGGCUCACCAAGGCUUCGACGGGUAGCUGGUCUGAGAGGACGAUCAGCCACACUGGCACUGCGACACGGGCCAGACUCCUACGGGAGGCAGCAGUAAGGAAUAUUGCGCAAUGGGCGAAAGCCUGACGCAGCGACGCCGCGUGGGGGA
rnacentral:rRNA from 1 species